AAUCAACGCUGGCGGCGUGCCUCAGACAUGCAAGUCGAACGAUUAAAGCUCCCUUCGGGGAGUGCAUAAAGUGGCGCACGGGUGAGUAACACGUAAGUAAUCUACCCUCGGGCGGGGAAUAACAACCGGAAACGGUUGCUAAUACCGCAUAAUGCAGCGGCACCGCAAGGUGACAGUUGUUAAAGGAGCAAUCCACCUGAGGAGGAGCUUGCGGCAGAUUAGCUUGUUGGUAAGGUAACGGCUUACCAAGGCUACGAUCUGUAUCCGGUCUAAGGUGACGGUCGGACACACUGACACUGAAUAACGGGUCAGACUCCUACGGGUGGCAGCAGUCGGGAAAUUUGGGCAAUGGGGGAAACCCUGACCCAGCAACGCCGCGUGAAGGAUGAAGUAUUUCGGUAUGUAAACUUCGAAAGAAUAGGAAGAAUUAAUGACGGUACUAUUUAUAAGGUCCGGCUAACUACGUGCCAGCCGCCGCAGUAACAC
rnacentral:rRNA from 1 species